CAAGUCUUUGCUUUGAGGCUGGAUGUGAAGGGAAUCCAUCUCUUCUCCUGGCUCCAGGCUCUUCAUCAACCAAGGACAGGCUGGCACUCACCAAACAGAGCCUGAUGGAGCUGGAGACCUCCUGAUCUCAUAAACUCAAGAAAUUAAUCAAAAUAUCUGAUUAUUUCUGAUUAAAAAAGUGUGACAGGGCUUUAUACCUGUAAGCCAAAGUUUCUUCCUAGAGAAAUUCCAGGCACUGCUCAGGAGUCUCUCAUGAGAGAAGUACAAGGAAUUUGGGUCUAAUACUAAGAGAUGAAGGCUCCAUUACUGAUCAAUAGCCAUGCAAAUCAUCCCCAGAAGAGUCACCACAGUGUAAAGAGUAAUGCAGUACAUGCCUAAUGUCCCAGCAGCAGGAAUCGUCUGAGACAUCCAGGGAAGGAAUAAUAAGAGUCACAAUAAGGAUUGGAUCUACAUUCCUCUCAUCAUCCAUUUUCCCCUGCUAAUAGACAUUCAGCCUCUGCAAGGGCUGAAGGAGGAACUCCUGGUUUGGACAGAAGAUACUGUCUCCUGUGUGCCCACAAAGUGGGUUUAAACAUCCUCCCCUGACCAGUGAUCCUAUUCUGACCAUAGAAGAGCAGCUCCUCUUCCUUCAUAGGGAUAGAAUAGGAUCCAGCUCAGAGAUAAGUAGGUGGGCUCAUGGAAAUCAUCAUCAGCCAUCCAGGCUGAUCUCAGAGAGUCCCUGUACUGAGGGCCAGACUGUAGGCCAUCAUCUAACAGGUGUGUUCAACUUAACUUCCUAUGCUAAGAUUUAUCACAAGGAAAUUGUCUGCAUCAACUUUCCAGCCCCCACCUUGGUUCCUCUCUUGUUCAGGAGAGAAAAGGCAACUUCAAAUAAAGCCCUAGUACAGCUCCAUGUUGAUAAGGGGUAUUGUGUAGCUGGCUUUAAUCUAGGUAGAACGUUUGAUAUGAACCUGAGAGUCCUUGCAGA